rnacentral:rRNA from 1 species
UACGUAGGUGGCAAGCGUUAUCUGGAAUUAUUGGGCGUAAAGAGCGCGCAGGUGGUUGAUUAAGUCUGAUGUGAAAGCCCACGGCUUAACCGUGGAGGGUCAUUGGAAACUGGUCGACUUGAGUGCAGAAGAGGGAAGUGGAAUUCCAUGUGUAGCGGUGAAAUGCGUAGAGAUAUGGAGGAACACCAGUGGCGAAGGCGGCUUCCUGGUCUGUAACUGACACUGAGGCGCGAAAGCGUGGGGAGCAAACAGGAUUAGA